rnacentral:lncRNA from 1 species
UUUUGCAGUACUAACAAGAUACAUCGCAAAACAUUUUACGUGCAGACCACGCAAAAAGGACUGUCGUCUUCUCGGGAUUGAACGCAAUGUUCGAAAUGCGACGAUACGUAACAAAAGAUGGCGUAAAUGCGCGGAAAAACACGGACGAGAGCAAUGAAGACGCGGACGCGCGGAAUUAAUGGUCGUCCUAGAUUGUUGGAUUCCGUGGUGAUUAACGUUUUGUUUACACGUUUCUGGUUGAAUUCGGUCAGGAGUGUUUAAGAGGACCGUCUAAACGACACCGAGCGCUUUCAUUUCCGCCGGCAUGUUUGCAGUGCACGCCGCUCGUUCUGACGCUCCGACAGAAUUCAUCAGCCGUCGAUGUCCAAGGAUGUUCCACGUACAAUACAUAGAGACGAAGGGAACAGGAUUGUUGGCAUUGUUUCGACACUGUCGUUACCGUCGAUACGCAACAGAUAUCUUCCCGUUUAUUGCGAACAUCGAUAGGCGAUGUUACAGAGCUGCAACGAAAAAGAGAUCUCGGACGUCUUUCGCUCGCAAGUACGACAGAUCUUUAACGCGGAAUCGCUCGGAAGUAUCGUGCAAAGUUUGGACAUUAGACGUAGCUUUUCUCGUACCGUUGCGACAGCAUCGCACGGAUGAAGGUUGAACGCUGUCCUGUUUAGAAAACAUACAGGUUCCGUGGGAACGAUUCUUUCGCGGAACGUUCCGAAUCCUCGGCCUACUUCCAUUCCCUUUGCUUCGACCUACAAUCGCCGUUAAAGGUGAAUACUCUUUGGAAAAUGGUUUAUCGCCUGAAAUUUCAACAGCUGGCUUUGAUCGGCUCUGAUACAGAAAUACGGUCAACGAUUUCUCCGAGUGGCGAUACGCGCGUCGUUUCACCACACUGUAAUUCAUCAACGAGAUUCCUUGCAGCCGAUGGAACGUCGGGUUCUCGCGAUUAGCUAGCUACCCGUUGCCACGGCCGUGACUGGAAGUAGGGAGUGGGCCAUCGAGGGAGGUGCAAGGAAAACACGUUCGCGAGCAGAGUGACCGAGCCGACACCCGGUAUAUGUGGAUUCGUAGAGUAGUCGUAGAGUCGACUCUCCGAUAUCGAGCGGGAGGCCCAGCGAGGGUUGCGCUCGCGCACACCUACACGUUUCACCGACCAACGUACACGUACGUUACUCCAGCUUACACGUGCGCAGUCUCCCACCUCUACGAUCUACCACCAGCGCGUGCCGCGGAUGGGGAGGAAUUUCGAGAGCAACGAAGAGGAAAGCAGGGUGUAGGGUAGCGGCGAGUGCAACGGCGAAUAUCAGGGGGUGGCUGGUGCCGCUGUCCGCGGAGAAAGGAGAGAGGGUGGAAGAGAAAGGAACGAGCAGCCGAAAAGCAGCGACGAAAGAGACAGAAGAAGCAGAGAAAGAGGACGAUGGGAACGCGUGCAAAGGAGAAGAACGAGGAGUACCGUCGCCAAAGUAGAAGCGGGAUACGCUACGUUGGUGGAAACGAGACUGGCACAGGGUGGGGUAUAGGAUGUAGAACGAGAGAGAAGAUACGAUCCGGUGUGCUCUGGUCGAAAGCGAAAAGGCACGACGACAGGGCGAAAAACAGAGAGGGACGGAGAUCGGAACGACGAGGAAAGAGAACGGUCGAAGGGUGGCGAGGAGGAUGGAGGACGUCCAAUGUCGAUGAAGGAGAUGGAAGAAGCUGAUGCGAGCAGCCACGUCGUGGAAACGGGAAGGAAGAAACGAGAGGGAAAGAGAUACGGUUCGAGGGACAGCGUAAAGCGAAAAGGAGACGGGCAUAGGAGAAGGGUGAAGAGAGAGCCGAUAGCGGCGGAGGGCGGGAUAAAGAGGGUUACGUAGCAAGGCGGUGGUAAAGGUGGGAAGGGGACAGGGAGAAAGUCGAGAGAGAGAGAGAGGAACGGAACGGAACAGGGUUGUUCCAGUGUGCAGCGAGCGGGCAUCGCGGCGGGGGCGCCGUUCUGCUGCUCCUGUAUAUCCAUCCAGAGUUAUAUGCACCAUCUACCGCAUCCUAGCGACCACGACGGCGACGACGACG